rnacentral:rRNA from 1 species
UACGGAGGGUGCAAGCGUUAUCCGGAUUUACUGGGCUUAAAGGGUGCGUAGGUGGGUAAGUAAGUCAGUGGUGAAAUCUCCGGGCUUAACCCGGAAACUGCCAUUGAUACUAUUUAUCUUGAAUACUUUGGAGGUAAGCGGAAUAUGUCAUGUAGCGGUGAAAUGCUUAGAUAUGACAUAGAACACCAAUUGCGAAGGCAGCCCUCUGGGCCGGUACUGACGCUGAGGAGCGAAAGCAUGGGGAGCGAACAGG